rnacentral:sRNA from 1 species
GCACACUAACUAUAGGGAGUGCCUGAGC